AAGGAUAAGAGUUUGAUCCUGGCUCAGGACGAACGCUGGCGGCGUGCCUAACACAUGCAAGUUGAGCGGAGGUAGAUGGAGCUUGCUCUAUGUACCUUAGCAGCGAACGGGUGAGUAACACGUAGAUAAUCUGUCCUAUAUUGGGGGAUAGCCCGAUGAAAGUUGGAUUAAUACCGCAUACAGCUAUAUAGUUGCAUGAUUAUAUAGUGAAAGAUUUAUUGAUAUAGGAGGAGUCUGCGGCACAUUAGCUAGUAGGUGAGGUAAGAGCUUACCUAGGCGACGAUGUGUAGCCGGUCUGAGAGGAUGAACGGCCACAAUGGAACUGAGACACGGUCCAUACUCCUACGGGAGGCAGCAGUGGGGAAUAUUGCACAAUGGGGGAAACCCUGAUGCAGCAACGCCGCGUGAGUGAAGAAGGUUUUCGGAUUGUAAAGCUCUGUUAGCAGGGAAGAGGAAGGACGGUACCUGCAGAGGAAGCCACGGCUAACUACGUGCCAGCAGCCGCGGUAAUACGUAGGUGGCAAGCGUUGUUCGGAAUAACUGGGCGUAAAGGAUGCGUAGGCGGUUAAAUAAGUUAUAUGUUAAAUAUAUAGGCUUAACCUGUAGAAAGCAUAUAAAACUGUUUAACUAGAGUGCAGGAGAGGUAAGUGGAAUUCCUAGUGUAGCGGUGAAAUGCGUAGAGAUUAGGAAGAACACCAGUGGCGAAGGCGACUUACUGGACUGUAACUGACGCUGAGGCAUGAGAGCAUGGGGAGCAAACAGGAUUAGAUACCCUGGUAGUCCAUGCUGUAAACGAUGGGUACUAGGUGUGGGUUGUGAAUAACAAUCCGUGCCGUCGCAAACGCAAUAAGUACCCCGCCUGAGGAGUACGAUCGCAAGAUUAAAACUCAAAGGAAUUGACGGGGACCCGCACAAGCAGCGGAGCAUGUGGUUUAAUUCGAAGCAACGCGAAGAACCUUACCUAAACUUGACAUACCUUGAAUUACCUUGUAAUGAGGGAAGCUCGCAAGAGCAAGGAUACAGGUGGUGCAUGGUUGUCGUCAGCUCGUGUCGUGAGAUGUUGGGUUAAGUCCCGCAACGAGCGCAACCCUUGUUGUUAAUUGCUAACAGGUUAAGCUGAGCACUUUAGCGAGACAGCCUAGGUUAACUAGGAGGAAGGUGGGGAUGACGUCAAAUCAUCAUGCCCCUUACGUUUAGGGCUACACACGUGCUACAAUGGUGAGAACAAAGAGAAGCAAGCUAGCGAUAGUGAGCAAAACUUAUAAAACUCAUCUCAGUUCGGAUUGCAGGCUGAAACUCGCCUGUAUGAAGAUGGAGUUGCUAGUAAUCGCGAAUCAGAAUGUCGCGGUGAAUACGUUCCCGGGUCUUGUACACACCGCCCGUCACACCAUGAGAGUUGGCAACACCCGAAACCUGUGGGCUAACCGAAAGGAGGCAGCAGUCUAAGGUGGGGUCAGUGAUUGGGGUGAAGUCGUAACAAGGUAGCCGUAGGAGAACCUGCGGCUGGAUCACCUCCUUU
rnacentral:rRNA from 1 species